rnacentral:rRNA from 1 species
CACGUAGGGUGCAAGCGUUGUCCGGAAUCAUUGGGCGUAAAGAGCUCGUAGGCGGCUCAGUAAGUCGGAUGUGAAAACUCGGGGCUCAACCCCGAGACGCCAUCCGAUACUGCUGUGGCUUGAGUCUGGUAGGGGAACACGGAAUUCCUGGUGUAGCGGUGAAAUGCGCAGAUAUCAGGAGGAACACCGGUGGCGAAGGCGGGUCUCUGGGCCGGUACUGACGCUGAGGAGCGAAAGCGUGGGGAGCGAACAGG